AUGGAGGCGGUGAGCGCGAUCGCCAAGGUGGUGCAGGCGAUAGUGAAGGCGGCGACGAGGGACCGAGAGAACAGUAAGAGAUGCCUUGCCCUCGCCGACCGCGCCCACACCGUCGGCCACAUCAUCGACCACCUCGAAUCCUCCACGGCGAGCAAGAGGAGCAGCGGCAGCGGCACCAGGUGCACGAUGAUUAUGAGAGAGCCCCCACUGAAGAGUCUGAAGGCCGCGCUCGAAGAAGCGCUUGAGCUCGUGGAGUCCCAGCAGCCGGGCGGCUUUGGCAGCGGGGUCAAGAAGCUGAUCACCAGCGGCACGACGGCAGCCAAGUUCCAGAGGGUCGAGGCGAGGAUCACCGCCUGCGUCACCGACCUCGGCUUGGCGGAGCAGUUCGCCGCUCGCUAUCGUGCCCUCCACGCCAACACAGGGGCCGGCUCGGCACCCUCCAUUGCUCCGCAGCAUCAGAAGAAGAGCUCGCUGUUUACGCGGCCGCCUACGCAGCAGCCCUCGGAGCGUCCGAGCUUAUUCCUGACACCAUCGCAGCACAACCAGAGCUUCUAA
rnacentral:rRNA from 1 species